CUAGCGGCAGGCUUAAUACAUGCAAGUCGAACGGUAACAUGAGUAGCAAUACUUGAUGACCAGUGGCGCACGGGUGCGUAACGCGUAUGCAACCUACCUUUAACAGGGACAUAACUUAGAGAAAUCUGGGCUAAUAUUCGAUAACAUUAUGAAGAGACAUCUCUUUAUAAUUAAAGCUCCGGCGGUUAAAGAUGGGCAUGCGUGACAUUAGUUAGUUGGCGAGGUAACGGCUCACCAAGACCGCGAUGUCUAGGGGUACUGAGAGGUUCCACCCCCACCCUGGUACUGAGACACGGACCAGACUCCUACGGGAGGCAGCAGUAAGGAAUAUUGGGCAUGGACGCAAGUCUGACCCAGCCAUGCCGCGUGGAGGAUGACGGCCUACCGGUUGUAAACUGCUUUUAUACGGGAAAAAACUUUUGGUUUCGCCCCAAAAUUGAUGGUACCGUAAGAAUAAGGAUCGGCUAACUCCGUGCCAGCAGCCGCGGUAAUACGGAGGAUCCAAGCGUUAUCCGGAUUUAUUGGGUUUAAAGGGUGCGCAGGCGGAAUAAUAAGUCCGUGGUGAAAUCCUACGGCUCAACUGUAGAACUGCCAUUGAUACUGUUAUUCUUGAGUUUAGUUGAAGUGGGCGGAAUGUGUCAUGUAGCGGUGAAAUGCUUAGAUAUGACACAGAACCCGAUCGCGAAGGCAGCUCACUAAGCUAAAACUGACGCUCAUGCCCCCAAAGCGUGGGGAUCAAACAGGAUUAGAUACCCCUGGUAGUCCACCGCUGUAAACCGAUGAUUACCCCGAUGUUGGGCGAUACACC
rnacentral:rRNA from 1 species